AGGUUCCAUCUGCUUCUGUUGAUGGUACUGUUUUGGAUCCAGUUCCUACAACAAGACAAACAAUUUAACCCAGUGAACAGAGUGAAGAAUUUCUGCAAAAAUUUUAAUGGCUCACCAGCAAAGAAGCAUUAGUACCUUAUUGUUUAUAAAAUCAUGCAAUACCUGGAGUUCUGGUUGGACCUUCUGUUGUCCCUUCUGGAGAGGCGGCUGGAGAAGCAGCUGUUUACAUACAGGAGGCUGCGAUUGACGAGAGAAUUUCUUACCAUUGCAAGAACUAAUGGGUGGAGUCUGAACAUUGCAAGCACCAGGUAAGGCGAGAGCCUGGGUCUGGUUGAUGUUGAUUCCAAGUGAUGAGCCGCCACCCUUUAGAACCUC